AUUGAACGCUGGCGGCAGGCCUAACACAUGCAAGUCGAGCGGAGCGGCGGACGGGUGAGUAAUGCCUAGGAAUCUGCCUGGUAGUGGGGGAUAACGUCCGGAAACGGGCGCUAAUACCGCAUACUAUCAGAUGAGCCUAGGUCGGAUUAGCUAGUUGGUGGGGUAAAGGCCUACCAAGGCGACGAUCCGUAACUGGUCUGAGAGGAUGAUCAGUCACACGGAAACUGAGACACGGUCCAGACUCAUGCGAGAGACAGCAGGGGGAAAUAUUGGACAAUGGGCGAAAGCCUGACCCAGCCAUGCCGCGUGUGUGAAGAAGGUCUGCGGAUUGUAAAGCACUUUAAGGUGGGGAGCGUUAAAAACAGAAAAAGCACCGGAUAACUUCGUGACAGCAGCCGCGGUAAUAC
rnacentral:rRNA from 1 species